rnacentral:rRNA from 1 species
CCUACGUGUGGCAGCAGUGAGGAAUAUUGGUCAAUGGCCGAAAGGCUGAACCAGCCAAGUCGCGUGAGUGAAGAAUGUCCUAUGGAUUGUAAACCUCUUUUGUCAGUGAGCCAAGUCACCCACGUGUGGCUGUUGGCUAGUACCUGAAGAAAAAGCAUCGGCUAACUCCUUGCCAGCAGCCGCGGUAAUACGGAGGAUGCGAGCGUUAUCCGGAUUUAUUGGGUUUAAAGGGUGCGUAGGCGAGUUAUCAAGUCAGCGGUAAAAUCGUGGAGUUCAACUCCAUCCAGCCGUUGAAACUGAUGAUCUUGAGUGGGCGAGAAGUAUGCGGAAUGCGUGGUGUAGCGGUGAAAUGCAUAGAUAUCACGCAGAACUCCGAUUGCGAAGGCAGCAUACCGGAGCCCGACUGACGCUGAAGCACGAAAGCGUGGGUAUCGAACAGGAUUAGAUACCCUAGUAGUC